rnacentral:piRNA from 1 species
UACAGAAACUGUUCGAAGUGACCUCAUC